rnacentral:rRNA from 1 species
UCUAACACAUGCAAGUCGAGCGAGGUUUAGAACCGAGCGGCGAACGGGUGCGUAAUACUUGGAAAUCUGCCUCAGAGUGGGGGAUAGCCGGCAGAAAUGCUGGAUAAUACCGCAUAAUCCCGCAAGGGCAAAGCGCGCAGCGCUCUGAGAUGAGUCCAAGCCUGAUUAGCUAGUUGGUGGGGUAAAAGCCUACCAAGGCGACGGUCAGUAGCUGGUUUGAGAGAAUGACCAGCCACACUGGAACUGAGACACGGUCCAGACUCCUACGGGAGGCAGCAGUGGGGAA